rnacentral:rRNA from 1 species
AUUGAACGCUGGCGGCAUGCUUUACACAUGCAAGUCGAACGGCAGCGCGGGCUUCGGCCUGGCGGCGAGUGGCGAACGUGUGAGUAAUGCAUCGGAACGUGCCCAGUAGUGGGGGAUAGCCCGGCGAAAGCCGGAUUAAUACCGCAUACGACCUGAGGGUGAAAGCGGGGGACCGAAAGGCCUCGCGCUAUUGGAGCGGCCGAUGUCGGAUUAGCUAGUUGGUGGGGUAAAGGCUUACCAAGGCGACGAUCCGUAGCUGGUCUGAGAGGACGACCAGCCACACUGGGACUGAGACACGGCCCAGACUCCUACGGGAGGCAGCAGUGGGGAAUUUUGGACAAUGGGGGCAACCCUGAUCCAGCCAUGCCGCGUGCGGGAAGAAGGCCUUCGGGUUGUAAACCGCUUUUGUUCGGGAAGAAAUCCUCUGGGCUAAUACCCCGGGGGGAUGACGGUACCGGAAGAAUAAGCACCGGCUAACUACGUG